ensembl:rRNA 5S_rRNA 5S ribosomal RNA
AUAUACUGCCCUACCACCCUGAACAUGCCAGAUCUCAUCUGAUCUCAGAAGCUAAGAAGGGUGGGGCCUAGUUAAUAUUUGGAAGGGAGAAGAAGAGACAGAGACACCUGCAGCACUGCAUC